rnacentral:rRNA from 1 species
GGUUCAGGAUGAACGCUAGCGACAGGCUUAACACAUGCAAGUCGAGGGGCAUCACGGGAGUAGCAAUACAACUGGUGGCGACCGGCGCACGGGUGAGUAACGCGUAUGCAACCUACCUAUCAGAGGGGAAUAACCCGGCGAAAGUCGGACUAAUACCGCAUAAAACAGGGGCACCGCAUGGUGAUAUUUGUUAAAGAAAUUCGCUGAUAGAUGGGCAUGCGUUCCAUUAGGUAGUUGGUGAGGUAACGGCUCACCAAGCCGACGAUGGAUAGGGGAACUGAGAGGUUGGUCCCCCACACUGGUACUGAGACACGGACCAGACUCCUACGGGAGGCAGCAGUGAGGAAUAUUGGUCAAUGGGCGGAAGCCUGAACCAGCCAUGCCGCGUGCAGGAUGACGGCCCUACGGGUUGUAAACUGCUUUUCCCCGGGAAGAAUAAGCCCCUCGUGAGGGGUGAUGCCGGUACCGGGGGAAUAAGGAUCGGCUAACUCCGUGCCAGCCGCAGC